UUGACUUCACUUUGCCUGAAUGAAGAUAACACCUGAAACAUGAAAGCUAGUUGAAGGAAAUGCAGAUAGAGAUGAUAUUGCACCACCGUUACCCACAAUCAACUUUCCGCCUCCUCACACGUCAUGAACCAGAAACAAUGUGAGACAGUAAUUGUUGCAGAAGGAACAUGAACAGAUUGAGUUGCGAAAUUCACUGUCUGAAUUGAAAAAAAGCAAUAAAUUGCAAGAAGAUCAAAUAUUUUUCCUCAAUGAGGAUGUCACGAGAAAACAGAGGAGAACAAAAGGUUGCUGCAGAAGUAUCAUAAUGUAAAGGAGAAGACUGCAAAGCAAGCCAGAUGCUAUGAAGAUACCAUCAAAGACCUAAGG